ncrna:unclassified sequences DTF3800-I RNA
UAUAAGCGCAGGUAGAAAUACGCUGUUUACUCAUGUACUCGAAUUAACGUUUAAGCGAACUGUAAGCUCGCCGACCAUGAGGCCAUAAUAUCGCCCCUAGAAGUAGUCGCCUGAUCAGCGAUGAAACUAGGGGUAUUUUUAUA